GGUAUCAGAAGUGCGAAUGCUGACAUAAGUAACGAUAAAGCGGGUGAAAAGCCCGCUCGCCGGAAGACCAAGGGUUCCUGUCCAACGUUAAUCGGGGCAGGGUGAGUCGACCCCUAAGGCGAGGCCGAAAGGCGUAGUCGAUGGGAAACAGGUUAAUAUUCCUGUACUUGGUGUUACUGCGAAGGGGGGACGGAGAAGGCUAUGUUGGCCGGGCGACGGUUGUCCCGGUUUAAGCGUGUAGGCUGGUUUUCCAGGCAAAUCCGGAAAAUCAAGGCUGAGGCGUGAUGACGAGGCACUACGGUGCUGAAGCAACAAAUGCCCUGCUUCCAGGAAAAGCCUCUAAGCAUCAGGUAACAUCAAAUCGUACCCCAAACCGACACAGGUGGUCAGGUAGAGAAUACCAAGGCGCUUGAGAGAACUCGGGUGAAGGAACUAGGCAAAAUGGUGCCGUAACUUCGGGAGAAGGCACGCUGAUAUGUAGGUGAAGCGACUUGCUCGUGGAGCUGAAAUCAGUCGAAGAUACCAGCUGGCUGCAACUGUUUAUUAAAAACACAGCACUGUGCAAACACGAAAGUGGACGUAUACGGUGUGACGCCUGCCCGGUGCCGGAAGGUUAAUUGAUGGGGUUAGCGGUAACGCGAAGCUCUUGAUCGAAGCCCCGGUAAACGGCGGCCGUAACUAUAACGGUCCUAAGGUAGCGAAAUUCCUUGUCGGGUAAGUUCCGACCUGCACGAAUGGCGUAAUGAUGGCCAGGCUGUCUCCACCCGAGACUCAGUGAAAUUGAACUCGCUGUGAAGAUGCAGUGUACCCGCGGCAAGACGGAAAGACCCCGUGAACCUUUACUAUAGCUUGACACUGAACAUUGAGCCUUGAUGUGUAGGAUAGGUGGGAGGCUUUGAAGUGUGGACGCCAGUCUGCAUGGAGCCGACCUUGAAAUACCACCCUUUAAUGUUUGAUGUUCUAACGUUGGCCCCUGAUCGGGGUUGCGGACAGUGUCUGGUGGGUAGUUUGACUGGGGCGGUCUCCUCCUAAAGAGUAACGGAGGAGCACGAAGGUUGGCUAAUCCUGGUCGGACAUCAGGAGGUUAGUGCAAUGGCAUAAGCCAGCUUGACUGCGAGCGUGACGGCGCGAGCAGGUGCGAAAGCAGGUCAUAGUGAUCCGGUGGUUCUGAAUGGAAGGGCCAUCGCUCAACGGAUAAAAGGUACUCCGGGGAUAACAGGCUGAUACCGCCCAAGAGUUCAUAUCGACGGCGGUGUUUGGCACCUCGAUGUCGGCUCAUCACAUCCUGGGGCUGAAGUAGGUCCCAAGGGUAUGGCUGUUCGCCAUUUAAAGUGGUACGCGAGCUGGGUUUAGAACGUCGUGAGACAGUUCGGUCCCUAUCUGCCGUGGGCGCUGGAGAACUGAGGGGGGCUGCUCCUAGUACGAGAGGACCGGAGUGGACGCAUCACUGGUGUUCGGGUUGUCAUGCCAAUGGCACUGCCCGGUAGCUAAAUGCGGAAGAGAUAAGUGCUGAAAGCAUCUAAGCACGAAACUUGCCCCGAGAUGAGUUCUCCCUGAGACUUUAAGUCUCCUGAAGGAACGUUGAAGACGACGACGUUGAUAGGCCGGGUGUGUAAGCGCAGCGAUGCGUUGAGCUAACCGGUACUAAUGAACCGUGAGGCUUAACCUU
rnacentral:rRNA from 1 species